rnacentral:rRNA from 1 species
UACGUAGGGUGCGAGCGUUAAUCGGAAUUACUGGGCGUAAAGUGUGCGCAGGCGGCCGCGCAAGUCGAGUGUGAAAGCCCCGGGCUUAACUUGGGAAUUGCGCUCGAAACUACGUGGCUGGAGUGUGGCAGAGGAAGGUGGAAUUCCAGGUGUAGCGGUGAAAUGCGUAGAGAUCUGCAGGAACACCCGUGGCGAAAGCGGCGCGCUGGACCACUACUGACGCUGAGGAACGAAAGCUAGGGGAGCAAACAGG